ACCACGAGAGGGCGUUAUGCAUAUGUGAAGAGUGUGACGCCCGUGCUCUCCAUUCUGUUGAUCCCGUUUUCCUCGUGCGGUUCCCGCUCCGCCGCCAGAUGUCGCGCGGCGCCGUCCUGGGGGGCGGGGCCUGUCCCGGGAACGCGUUGCUUCCCAUUCCAAGCGCAGAGACACAACAUGGCGGAAUAGGAGAGGCGGCCGAAGCGCCCGGAUACAGCGAGUAAAAGCGCAGGAGACUCGCUAAAUGUGCCCCGUUGGAAAGCAAGAAUUUCGUCUGUCUGUCAGGGAGAGCCCAGAACAUUUUCGGGAUUUUUGGGCUUCUCUUUGACAUGUAAUUUGGGGGCCAUAAGCCAACGAUCUAUCACCCCUCUCCAAAUUGGCCGUCUGCACGGGAUCAUUCCAGUUACCCAGGCCCCCCACCCCGCACACACUCUCGGUUCUUGGGGUGUGUAGAUAGGGGCAGGGGAAGAGAGCGUGGAGAAAGGGAGGAAAAAUAAUUGCACCUUUCUGAAAUAUAAGGCUACACGUUUUGAGAGGAGAGUCGCGAUCCUCUGUGACGUGACUGGAGAUGUGACGGCACUGGAGAGGCGAGAUGAAGCGAGACGAGACGAGAUGAGAUGAGACGAGAUGAGAUGAGACGACGUAGCAGGAAGUCUGCCGACAGCACGGCCAUCCUUAUCGCUUCAGCGUAGAGGGGCCACACCCACCCCUGGAGAACCCCAA
ensembl:lncRNA